rnacentral:rRNA from 1 species
UACGGAGGGGGCAAGCGUUAUUCGGAAUUAUUGGGCGUAAAGGGCGCGUAGGCGGCUAGAUGUGUCAAAGGUGAAAUCCCUCGGCUCAACUGAGGAGCUGCCUUUGAAACUGUCUGGCUUGAGGCCGGGAGAGGGUAGCGGAAUUCCCAGUGUAGCGGUGAAAUGCGUAGAUAUUGGGAGGAACACCAGUGGCGAAGGCGGCUACCUGGACCGGUUCUGACGCUGAGGCGCGAAAGCGUGGGUAGCAAACAGG